UACGGGGGGGGCAAGCGUUGUUCGGAAUUACUGGGCGUAAAGGGCUCGUAGGUGGCCAACUAAGUCAGACGUGAAAUCCCUCGGCUUAACCUGGGAACUGCGUCUGAUACUGGAUGGCUUGAGUUCGGGAGAGGGAUGCGGAAUUCCAGGUGUAGCGGUGAAAUGCGUAGAUAUCUGGAGGAACACCGGUGGCGAAGGCGGCAUCCUGGACCGACACUGACGCUGAGGAGCGAAAGCCAGGGGAGCAAACGGG
rnacentral:rRNA from 1 species